ACAGCAGGCAGCCACCAAAGGCACUCAGCAAGGGGUGGCCACCAGAGCUAAGACUCACAGGUCACUGCAAAGUUCAGGAGACCCAAGCUGGCCGCAUUUAAAGGAAACCCUGGGAAACUGAGGUUACCCAGCCUCCGUAAUCUGGCAUUGGAGGAGCCCCUCAUGCAGUGGAAGCCCAGAGGGCCACUGCGCCCAACAUGAAGGCAAGACUUCUUUCCCCAUCCAUCCCUGGUGCUUCCUCCUGACCUGCAUAACAACACAGUGGGAGCGUUCAAGAGGCCACAUCUUGUCCACAGGACCAACCUGAGUCACAAACGCUUUUGUAGCUGGGUUGCUACACCCCGAGAGAGUUUCACAAAAUGACAACCUUGGAAAAGAUGCCCUGCACUGUCAAAACCUGCUGGCCCUCCACUGAAGGCUCAAACCCCAAAGCUUCGCAUCUCGAGCAGUUGCCAAACUUGUGUUUGGGCAUCCGGCUGCAGGCUGCUUUCCUCUGGAUGGUUGGGAAGCGGUUCUUGGAACUAAGCCAGCUUCCUUGGCCAGCUCUGGACGGGAACACACCAGUGCUGUCUCCCCAGCAGCCUUCUGACUGAUUAGCGCUGCAUCUUCUCUGGUCCUCCUACACCCUAUGAGCUGUAUGUGCUUCCCACCUCUGUGGUUAUUUAGACUCUUCCGGGCACAGGGAGCAUGGGCAAGCCAAAGCAGGCGCCCCCCGGUGUGAAGAGACCCUCAAAUCCCUGCUCCAGGGGUGUCAACAGAAAGGGUUAGGUCAUCUUCUGCCAUGUCACCCAGGGCUUGCUCUGCCUCUUUGACCGCAGGGAGUGACUCUUAUAGGACUGUCUGUGCCAGAAAUGGGGCUUUGCAGGCUCUUUCCAUACCCAGCAACAAUGCUCCCUUCAGCUGCCUGCAGCCCCGUUUCCAGCCCGAGAGGAGAAAGAUGGAGAAACAUACUUGAGAGAGAGGUAGUGAUUUUUCCAGAAUGAACUUGACGGUGACAGAAUACCUGACAGAGCAGCAUGAUUGAUGAUUGAUUGAUGAUUGAUUGAUUGGUGCUUCCUUGAGGGGAAAACACUAAAAGCAUAGAGACACUGGUGUCAUUGGCCAAUGAACUUGAACUCAAUGAAUAUAGAUGCUGUAUGGCACCACUUUAGAAAUGACACAGGCAGGGGCUAACCAGCAUGACUAACCUGGGAACUCACAGUGGAUUCCACAGACAGUUAGAGAGGUAUUGAGGCACCAAGAGAGACUGAAAAUUGCAGGUAAACAAGAUUUUUCUAGUCCUGUUCUCACACCUAGAGAUGAUAACUUCCAUUACUGUGUGUAUAAAGGUCCUUUUCUCUUGGGUAGCCACAGCAGAGAAGACUAGAAAAUCACUUUAGGUGUGAGCCUGUGAAGCUGAGAAUUAUUUUCCACAAAGAUCAUAGAGAUCCCUCUUCCCAGGUAUUAGAUGGGUUUCCCCUGUGCUCUACUGAGUUUUUGCUGAGUAAGGAAUUUCUUAGUUUGGUUCUUGGUUUAGGAGCUUCAGAACACAUUGACAGGGAGGGUGUGGCUGAGAACAGCUCACAUCUUGGUAGACCAGAAGGAGAGAAAAACAAUGCCUACACUUCUGUGUCUUUCAUCUUUUAUUGCAUUCUGGCCCAAGCUUAUGGGAUGGCUUCACACACUUUUGAGUUUUCACAUGCCCAGGUGUUCUUUACCAAUCUCCUAAGCAGGCCUCAUUCCAAUAAGUACAUAUCAAAAUGAACCUUCACACAUACAGAUGAUGGGAUCUUGAUGCCAUUGGGGUCCCUGUCCUGUUCUUCCUGAGGCUAGCUAUGAGCAUACUUUGCAUCCACACAGCAUUAUCACUAAGCUCCUUCAAGAGACAGAUUUCAAGGCAGGUUAGGGGAAGUAGGAGAUGGGAAUGGACCAACUGUUUUGUCAGACGAUUGUUAACUAUCUAAAGAAUGAUGGGAGUAUGUUAAAAAAGAUAGAAGCCAGCUCGGCCUGACUGAAUGAACACAGAUGAGGGGUUAAACAAAUAUCAAGAGCAGUGUAUUAUAACUCACCAAAUAAAACAGGAAACUACAUGUCAAUAAAUGAAUAAGCUGAACAUAUGAGAAAGAGUGAGAUAUUUAAAGUAUAUUCUAGCUGGGAGAAAAGGUGAGAAAUCCCCAUAAAAGACCAAAGAAAGGGGUAUCCAAAUGGGAACAAGUUGACAUUGUUCAAGCUUCAAGCUUGGGGGGGCUGCAGGGAGAGCAUACCCUCACUUCUGUGGUGCGUGGGCUGAAAGUGUACAAGCAUCCACCAGACACACCCCAAAGGAAGCAGUCAACAUAGGAGCCAGCCUGUUCCAUCCAAAUGUCUCAGCGUUUUUUGCUAAAAGCCAUGGAAUAUCAAGAACCAGAAUCAAGUGGAAGGGGCUAGAGACAGGGCAUAUGUGGGCAGGUGAUUUUGGGGGAGAUUUCUCCAAAAUAAUAAUGAUAAUAAUAAUAAUAAUAAUAAUAAUAAUAAUAAUAAUAAGGCUGCAUUCAUCUUUAAAACCCCAGUCUGGGAGUUGGAGAGAUGGCUCAGAGGUUAGGAGCACUUGCUGCUCUUCCAGAAGUCCUGAGUUCAGUUCCCAACUUCUUUUGGUCUCCGAAGGUACUUCUCGUGCAUGCAGGCACAUGUGGACACGCAUGCACACACAUUAAAGACAAAACAACCAAAGCUCCACCAAAUUCCACUAGGGCUUGGUAACCUGAGGUGGAAGGUGUUGCCAUUUGCAUGCUGACUCUGGUGACCUAACCAGUAUAACAAGGACAUCCCUGCAGGUGAAAAAUAGCACAUCCUGGUGGCAGGACUUUGGGUAGCUAUGCUGGGGCAAAUGGCUCAGGGAAAGAGUCCUAUGCUCUUACUAGAAACUUUUCUGUAGGUUUGUGAUGAUUUUAAAAUGAAACGGAAGAAUGAAAAAAAAAAAAGGAGGAGAUGUCUCGCUUGCUCAGUUUAUCUCUCUGGUGUCCCAGGGGCAUGUCAAGCAUAAAUGAAAAGGGAAAUGUUUUGGUCUACCGGCAUGUAGCUCAAAUCAUCUUAUGGGUCAACUAAGGUGCGCAUUCUUGGCUGGCCUUCAGAGUUUAGGUAUUUGUAAGCCGAAUUCCUUUAACUGUUUUGAAGCUAAAAAUCUAUAUAUUGUAGUUUUAAGGGUUUGAAUGCACAAGGCUUUAGAACAUUGUCCAAGUUGAGAAAAUGAGCCUUAGGUCUGACCCAAGGCACUCAGUAGCUCAUUAGGUUUCCUGAGCUUUGAUACAUUCUCACGGUGGAAGAUUUCAGCCUCUGUGAGAGCAGAAGAUGUUCUCUUCUGGGUCAGACUUCACACUGAAGUGGAAGCAAGAAAAAGGAGGCUCCGCUCCUUUCAGGAACUUUCCCCCCUUCCCCCAUCUGCUUAAAAACAUCUGGGAAUGAAAAUUCCAAUUGUCAGAGGCAAUAAAUACUAGGAAUAAAGGUGUGUGCACACGUAUGUGUGUGCACCUGUGCCAGUGUCCUCGUGUAUUACUCUCUUCCUUAUUCCCUUGAGAAAGGGUCUUUCCCUGAACCUGGAGAUUAGUUUUCAUGUUUUUUUAAUGUUCUUUUGUUUCUUUUUGAGACAGAGUUUCUCUGUGUAACAGCCCUAACUGUCCUGGAACUAGCUCUGUAAACCAGACUAGCCUUGAACUCUCAGAGAUCGGCCUGUCUCUGCAUCCUGAGUGUUGGGAUUAAAGGUUUUUUAAAAAGCUUUUUUAAAAAAAAAAUCACCUCUCCAUGCCUCCCCUGGUCACUGAGCACUGAGUGAGUUGUCUUCUCCACACAUGCAUGCACAUGCAUGCUUGUACAUGCUCUCUCUCUCUCUCUCUCUCUCUCUCUCUCUCUCUCUCUCUCUCUCUCUCUCUCUCUCUUUCUCUCUCUCUCUCUCACACACACACACAUACCAUCUCCACCAAGCACUAGGGUUAAAGCUCACAUGGCCAUUGGAUUUUAAGAGGGUGCCAGGAUUGCACACUCGGGCCCUCAUGCUUGCAUAACGAGUGCUCUUAGCCAUGAGUCAUCUGCCCAGCUCAAGUGAAACUUACUCUUAACUGACACCUAAAACACAACAACGAUAACCAGAAGGGCACCACAUGACCUUUUGAUGCAUUUUCAUGCUGUAUUGUUUUAAAUCAAGGUAAGCUUCUACUCCCUCGCUUGUCAUUUCUUCAUAGUGAGACCCUUCAGAUUCUCUUCUUCUAGUGGUGUGCACGCAUGGGGCAUGGUGGUCACCUGCAGUCAUCUUACUCCCGCUGAUCAGCCUCCCUUCACGCCUUCCUCCCCCACCCAACUCCCCAGCAUCUUGUAACCACCCUUCUGCCCUCAACUUUGUGUGUGCGCGUGUGCGUGUAGUUGGAGUGGCCUCAUUUGAGUGCCCGCUCUGACUUCCCUCAGUGAUUUGGAACUGUAAGCCGAAAUAAACUCUUUUCUUGCCA